UACGUAGGGCGCAAGCGUUGUCCGGAAUUAUUGGGCGUAAAGAGCUCGUAGGCGGUCUGUCGCGUCCGUUGUGAAAACUCGAGGUUCAACCUCGGGUCUGCAGUCGAUACGGGCAAACUAGAGUAUUGCAGGGGAGACUGGAAUUCCUGGUGUAGCGGUGAAAUGCGCAGAUAUCAGGAGGAACACCGGUGGCGAAGGCGGGUCUCUGGGCAAUAACUGACGCUGAGGAGCGAAAGCGUGGGGAGCGAACAGG
rnacentral:rRNA from 1 species